AUACGAAGGUCCUAAGCGUUAUUCGGAAUCACUGGGCGUAAAGAGUACGUAGGCGGUUUGGUAAGUCAGGUGUGAAAUCCCGGAGCUCAACUCCGGAACUGCAUCCGAUACUGCCAGACUUGAGUAAUGGAGAGGCAGGUGGAAUUCUCGGUGUAGCAGUGAAAUGCGUGGAUAUCGAGAGGAAGACCAAUGGCGAAGGCAGCCUGCUGGACAUUUACUGACGCUGAGGUACGAAGGCUAGGGGAGCGAAAGGGAUUAGAAACCCCAGUAGUCC
rnacentral:rRNA from 1 species